GUGCUCUCUUCGGCAGCACAUAUACUAAAAUUGGAACGAUACGGAGAAGGUUAGCAUGGCCCCUGCACCCGGAUGACAUGCACACUCGUGAGGCGUUCCGUAUCUUG
rnacentral:snRNA from 1 species